UACGGAGGAUCCAAGCGUUAUCCGGAAUCAUUGGGUUUAAAGGGUCCGUAGGCGGUUUGGUAAGUCAGUGGUGAAAGCCCAUCGCUCAACGGUGGAACGGCCAUUGAUACUGCUAGACUUGAAUUAUUAGGAAGUAACUAGAAUAUGUAGUGUAGCGGUGAAAUGCUUAGAGAUUACAUGGAAUACCAAUUGCGAAGGCAGGUUACUACUAAUUGAUUGACGCUGAUGGACGAAAGCGUGGGUAGCGAACAGG
rnacentral:rRNA from 1 species